rnacentral:rRNA from 1 species
UGGGGAAUAUUGGACAAUGGGGGGAACCCUGAUCCAGCCAUGCCGCGUGUGUGAAGAAGGCCUUUUGGUUGUAAAGCACUUUAAGCGAGGAGGAGGCUACUAGUACUAAUACUACUGGAUAGUGGACGUUACUCGCAGAAUAAGCACCGGCUAACUCUGUGCCAGCAGCCGCGGUAAUACAGAGGGUGCGAGCGUUAAUCGGAUUUACUGGGCGUAAAGCGUACGUAGGCGGCUUUUUAAGUCGGAUGUGAAAUCCCUGAGCUUAACUUAGGAAUUGCAUUCGAUACUGGGAAGCUAGAGUAUGGGAGAGGAUGGUAGAAUUCCAGGUGUAGCGGUGAAAUGCGUAGAGAUCUGGAGGAAUACCGAUGGCGAAGGCAGCCAUCUGGCCUAAUACUGACGCUGAGGUACGAAAGCAUGGGGAGCAAACA